ACACAUGUAAUUCAGUGGCAGAACACUUGCCUAGCAAGCAUGAGGCCCUGGGAUCAAUCCCUAGCAUUAGGU
rnacentral:tRNA from 1 species